UACGUAGGGAGCGAGCGUUGUCCGGAAUUACUGGGUGUAAAGGGUGCGUAGGCGGGAUGGCAAGUCAGACGUGAAAUACCGGGGCUCAACUCCGGGGCUGCGUUUGAAACUGUCGUUCUUGAGUGAAGUAGAGGCAGGCGGAAUUCCUAGUGUAGCGGUGAAAUGCGUAGAUAUUAGGAGGAACACCAGUGGCGAAGGCGGCCUGCUGGGCUUUAACUGACGCUGAGGCACGAAAGCAUGGGGAGCAAACAGG
rnacentral:misc_RNA from 1 species